CAAUAGCGUAUAUUUAAGUUGCUGCAGUUAAAAAGCUCGUAGUUGCAUUUCGGGUGGGAAUGGCCGGUCCGCCGUUUCGGUGUGCACUUGCUACGCCCACCUUGCUGCCGGGGACGUGCUCUUGAGUUCACGCUCGGGACACGGAGUCGGCGAGGUUACUUUGAGUAAAUUAGAGUGUUCAAAGCAGGCCUACGCUCUGAAUACAUUAGCAUGGAAUAACACGAUAGGACUCUGGCCUAUCUUGUUGGUCUGUAGGACCGGAGUAAUGAUUAAGAGGGACAGUCGGGGGCAUUCGUAUUUCAUUGUCAGAGGUGAAAUUCUUGGAUUUAUGAAAGACGAACUACUGCGAAAGCAUUUGCCAAGGAUGUUUUCAUUAA
rnacentral:rRNA from 1 species